rnacentral:tRNA from 1 species
GCCCCUGUAGCCCAGUGGUUAGGGCGCUGGCCUUAUACACCAGGGCUGGCAGGUUCGAACCUGGCCUGGCACU